GAUUUCCAUUAGCCUGUGAUUCGCCUAGCGUGUCGAUUUUCCUUGUGCGUGAGAAACCACCCCUUUUCACGGUCGAGCCAUCACCGCAGACCGCGCCCCUAGCGCGUGUACGAGCGUCGCGGCUGUAAAAGCCAGCGUGUAUAGUUAUUCGUUAUUGCAUAACUUUCGUCAGAGAUUGGCCGGGUUCGAGCGUAGUUAGUAUAUCGAACGAAGCCGGAUUCUGUGAAAGGUGGACCUAGGCGCGGCCAAGGACCGGUUGCACGUAAACACAACCGAGCUGCUGCUAUGAUAUCUUUCUAACUGUGACAUAUGCUAAUUAUUGCUCAUGCGAGAAAAGAAGGAAAUUCUUGAAAGAGACAGCACGAUGCUUGAACUUGGGGAAUGAUGUUCGAAUAUCAACUUUAAAAACUGGGAUAAUCGGUGAACUUUUUUCAACUAAGAUAAUUGACACAAUCUUUCUAGCGUUUGAUGGAACGUUCUGAAAUUAAGGUCGAACAGCUUUACACUGGGUAGAGAAUCGUCGCUUGUAAACUAUGAAGGAGGUCUAUUUAUUAGAGUAGCCGAAUAUAAUCAACAAAGGGAACGAGCACUACGCCACUGAAGGAAAAAGUCAAUCGAGAGACAGCUGUUAGGAACACAUGUGGUAAAUUGACUUGGUAUUUGCCAGGGAUUCGUGAAAACGUGAAAAGCGCGCCGAAAACGUCAUCUAGAGGAAUUCCGGAAUCCGCGAAACGUGUGGAUCGUUUGUGACAAAAAGAUUGUGCUCGGAGAAUGACGAGAAAAUUUGUUUGUACAUUA